rnacentral:lncRNA from 1 species
UUUAUCCUGAAAUACGAGCGUGCAUGACCGGAAGUGGCGCUUCAGCGUGAUCAGAUUAACUAUAAACGGUUCCUUCAGCAUUUCGCUGUUAAAUUGUGUUUAGUUAAUUAAUCGGUCACAUCAGCACAGCCAGUCGCUCAUUACAGGUGUCAGGAUGGUGUGUGAGCUGCUGCUGUCCUCGCUCUGGUUCCUGUUCCUCAUCUUCUGGCUGGAGAGCAUCAGUGUUUGGCUCUUUCUGUGUCUGUACUAUCAGGACAGGGUUUUCUAUCACUGGGCUUCAGGUGAGUUUGCAGAUGAUCCGGAUCAGUUCCUCUAUGUGUUGAGCAGAAUCGAUCUGUCUGCGCACAUGCAGACAUGAGGAAGUGAUGUCAUCACGCCAGGGUCAGAGGUCAGCGGGUCCUCGUGACCUCCAGAGACUGUGAUGGACGGUUUCUGCAGACAGAUAGAGCGGCGAGAUUCAGCGCACAAGCAGCAGGAACACAUGAAACCUCUUUAAAACUGUUACCUGCGUGAACACUGACGGAGUUUAACCAGUUCAUGUUUUUUAACUAGCUGGAAUUUCAUUUGAGAAAAUAUUAACAGCUCCAGAUUAACUUUGAUCGAAUUAUUGUGUGUUCUAUUUUUAUACCAAUUUCUCUUUUUUUUUUACCUAAUAAUAAAAAUAAAGCAGCUUUAAACAGUUUCUCUGAGGUUUCGUUUCUACACUAAACAGAAACAAGAAAAAUCUGCUU